GACGAACGCUGGCGGCGUGCUUAACACAUGCAAGUCGAACGGAAAGGCCCUGCUUUUGUUUGGUUCUCGUGUGGCGAACGGGUGAGUAACACGUGAGUAUCCUGCCCUUGUCUUUGUGAUAACUUCAGGAAACUCGGGCUCAUACCGGAUAGGAUCUCCUGCUGCAUGGUGGGGGUUGGAAAGUUUCGGCGGUUGGGGCUAGACUCGCGGCUUAUCCGCUUGUUGGUGGGGUAGUGGCUUACCAAGCCUUUGACGGGUAGCCGGCCUGAGAGGGUGACCGGCCACAUUGGGACUGAGGUACGGCCCAGACGCCUACGUGAGGCAGCAGUGGGGAAUAUUGCACAAUGGGCGGAAGCCUGAUGUAGCAACGCCGCGUGCGGGAUGCCGGCCUUCGGGUUGUAAACCGAUUUCGCCUGUGACGAAGCGUGCGUGACGGUAAUGGGUAAAGAAGCACCGGCUAACUACGUG
rnacentral:rRNA from 1 species